AUUGAACGCUAGCGGGAUGCUUUACACAUGCAAGUCGAACGGCAGCGCGGACUUCGGUCUGGCGGCGAGUGGCGAACGGGUGAGUAAUGUAUCGGAACGUGCCCAGUAGCGGGGGAUAACUACGCGAAAGCGUAGCUAAUACCGCAUACGCCCUACGGGGGAAAGCAGGGGAUCGUAAGACCUUGCACUAUUGGAGCGGCCGAUAUCGGAUUAGCUAGUUGGUGAGGUAACGGCUCACCAAGGCGACGAUCCGUAGCUGGUUUGAGAGGACGACCAGCCACACUGCGACUGAGACACGGCCCAGACUCCGACGGGAGGCAGCAGUGGGGAAUUUUGGACAAUGGGGGCAACCCUGAUCCAGCCUUCCCGCGUGUGCGAUGAAGGCCUUCGGGUUGUAAAGCACUUUUGGCAGGAAAGAAACGUCGCGGGCUAAUACCCCGUGGAACUGACGGUACCUGCAGAAUAAGCACCGGCUAACUACGUG
rnacentral:rRNA from 1 species